rnacentral:rRNA from 1 species
UACGUAGGGUGCGAGCGUUAAUCGGAAUUACUGGGCGUAAAGCGUGCGCAGGCGGUUUUGUAAGCCAGAUGUGAAAUCCCCGGGCUUAACCUGGGAAUGGCAUUUGGGACUGCAAGGCUGGAGUUUGGCAGAGGAGACUGGAAUUCCUGGUGUAGCAGUGAAAUGCGUAGAUAUCAGGAGGAACACCAAUGGCGAAGGCAGCACUCUGGGACGUGACUGACGCUGAGACGUGAAAGCGUGGGGAGCAAACAGG